GUGCCAGCCGCCGCGGUAAUACGAAGGGGGCUAGCGUUGUUCGGAAUCACUGGGCGUAAAGCGCACGUAGGCGGAUGUGCCAGUCAGGGGUGAAAUCCCGGAGCUCAACUUCGGAACUGCCUCUGAUACAGCACGUCUUGAGUCCGGAAGAGGUGGGUGGAAUUCCUAGUGUAGAGGUGAAAUUCGUAGAUAUUAGGAAGAACACCGGUGGCGAAGGCGGCCCACUGGUCCGGUACUGACGCUGAGGUGCGAAAGCGUGGGGAGCAAACAGGAUUAGAAACCCCCGUAGUCC
rnacentral:rRNA from 1 species